GAGAGCAGAGAUUCCUAAGCAAGCUGGUGACUGUUUGAGACUCCUACAGAGCGCAGUGAAUCUGUACAGGAAAGCAGUGAGUGAGCAGUGAUUCCAAUAGAUCAGUCUCUGAAAGGAAGUAGAAUUUUCACAUGGAGUCCAACGGUACCCCCAGCGUGCAAUACGACCGCUGGAAUGAGGAAAAUAUCAAUAUGAACGUGGAGGCUUCACAGCCUGUUCUGAGAAGGAUCUACAACAGAAUGUGCACCGGCAACAUUGGAAUAGCAGUGAAGGUUACAGGAGCUGUAGCUGCACUGGUGACUGUUUACAUUAUAGGAUAUGUGACUGGAUACCACAUUCAUCGCUGCCCGUAGAAUGAAGGAACCCAUCACAAGAUAAAAGUGCAUGGACAAACCAUGAAUUUAUAAAAUGCUACGUUAAGUGAAAAAUUCUGUGUUGAACAGAAUUCAAAUCAACUCAUAUUUCAAUUUUUAUGGAAAAAAACACAAAUCUGUGGCUUUAUGUGAGAUUCAGUGCCUCUGAUAAAUCUCAUAUCCACCUUCUUAAUAAAAAGAAGCUGAAAGCUGUAUUGCAGUCCUGAUGGAUAGCUGUUGCUACUGUAAAACUAUAGCAUUACUGGGCACUCAGCUGUACUUUAAAAUGCACUUGUAUCUGAAUGUUUCUUGCCAAACAGAGGAAAUUCAUUAUUAACUGACAUCAAGCACUGACAGCAUUUUCUUAACUCAGACAGCCUUUUCCUUUUUUGCUGUACACUGAUUUCAUUAUGCUUUUCAGCCCGUAAUUAGUUUUCCAGCAUUAUGUAGCAAAGACAUACUGAUUUGUACAUUCAACAAUAUUUGCAGCACCUAGAUGAGUGUUCCACUUUUCAGAAAUGCAUCUAAACACAAUCACCAGUUAAACUGUGCAGGAUUGGCUGAUUACACAGCAUCUUAAAAAGGAGUGACUGCAGCAGCUGACCUGUUAUAGUUUGUGAAUAACCGCCCACGAACAUUCACCAACAACCACACAGGAGGUUAAUUUCCCAGUUGUUAGCGCAUUACAAUUAUCUUGCGCAGAAAAAGCAGCAAUGAUGAAUUGUGCUUAUUAUGGAGACUUUUAAGAAUCAUGUAGCACAUAAAAUUCUGCUAUUAAAAAGAGAAAUUAAGUUAAUCAAGACUAACUGUAGCAUUCCUGACUGAUGCUUAGGUUAGAAAUACAACAUGAUAUAAUGUAGUAUUUCUGAAUGAAUCUGAAUAAUGCCUAGCUAAACACAGUUUGCUGGACAUUUUACUGCAGCUCCUUUGUAAUCAUUCCUUCUUCUAAUGCUCUGCUUUAAGAACUCACUUUUUUUGUUUCAAAUAAAUCCAACUUUUACUUUCA